AUUGAACGCUGGCGGCAUGCUUUACACAUGCAAGUCGAACGGUAACAGGCCUUCGGGUGCUGACGAGUGGCGAACGGGUGAGUAAUGCAUCGGAACGUACCCAGAGGUGGGGGAUAACGCAGCGAAAGCUGUGCUAAUACCGCAUGUGAUCUGAGGAUGAAAGCGGGGGACCGAGCAGCAAUGUUUGGCCUCGCGCCUUUGGAGCGGCCGAUGUCGGAUUAGCUAGUUGGUGGGGUAAAGGCCUACCAAGGCGACGAUCCGUAGCUGGUCUGAGAGGACGACCAGCCACACUGGGACUGAGACACGGCCCAGACCCCUACGGGAGGCAGCAGUGGGGAAUUUUGGACAAUGGGCGCAAGCCUGAUCCAGCAAUGCCGCGUGCGGGAAGAAGGCCUUCGGGUUGUAAACCGCUUUUGGCAGGAACGAAACGGUGUCCGCUAAUACCGGGCGCUAAUGACGGUACCUGCAGAAUAAGCACCGGCUAACUACGUG
rnacentral:rRNA from 1 species